rnacentral:misc_RNA from 1 species
GUGAAGCCAUUUUUAAAGAUCUGGUGGAAGAAACUACAUUAAGCUGUGUAAAUGAAUGUUCAGAAAGUGGAAAUCCUUCAAUUGCAGCUGAAUCCAAGGAUCAGAGUAGCAUCGAUUUGUAAAUUACAUUUUACUUGUGUUUGUUCUUACCAAUAAUUGAGCUCCAUUGUUUCUGGGUGGGAGGAGGAGCAGUUUCAUCUCAGCAGGCUUCAUUUGUCCCUUCUGGGAUGUCCUGGACACGGCUUGACAGAGGCUUUCUUUCUAACUUUGCCAUUGAGAUCAUGUAUAUAUCAAACAGUUCUAACAUUGUCAAAGCACGAUAGCUUGGGAGCUCUACUAGGCAGAUAUCCUCAAAUGAAGUAUUCAUGCUUCGUGGGCAGGAAUCAGGAGCCCAAUCAGCAAGUACUUCUUGUUAUCAAGCAAAGACUACUUGAUUUCCAUGGCAAUUUUUUCAACCAUGACCGGAUAGGCACCUUACACUCAGUUGACAAUAGAACUAUUAUCAUUGUAGACUUGUAGAUUAUGGUGUGUUGAUUGUGUCAGUUAAGGCAGUGUAUGUUGUUAACCUUGUUAUUUCUUGGUUCUUUUUGCCCUGAUUUCAUUCUUUCUUCUGUCAAGUUCUUGUUUCUUUUACCUCUCUCCUUUAUUUAUGAAGUUGGGGUUGCUGUGAAUUUGUGACUAUUUGGAUGUAUUAUAGGGGGUAAUUUUGCACGAGUGUUGUAUGCAAUUAACAAGCUAUUGUUGCUAUGUUCUGAUUUAUGAAUAAUUAAUACAGGUAAUAUAUGGAAUACAUGUGGUGUGCUUGCUCUGUUGCUUUCUCAAAUAAAGGAGAGAGGUAAAAGAAACAAG